rnacentral:ncRNA from 1 species
UUUAGUAGUCUAAACACGAAACUGACCUGAUGAAUCGCGAACCCCUGAAGCUUAAGCCUUAGGUCGUGACUUAAACGUGUAUAAAUAAGAGUUGAAACCUAGUUC